rnacentral:rRNA from 1 species
AGUGAACGCUGGCGGCGUGCUUAACACAUGCAAGUCGAACGAGAACGGGCUAUAGCUUGCUAUAGUUGUCAGCUAAGUGGCGCACGGGUGAGUAAUGUAUAGGUAAUAUGCCUCUUACUAAGGGAUAACAAAUGGAAACGUUUGCUAAUACCUUAUACUCCUUAUUAACAGAAGUUAAUAAGGGAAAGAUUUAUUGGUAAGAGAUUAGCCUGUAUUGUAUCAGUUAGUUGGUGGGGUAAUGGCUGACCAAGACUAUGACACAUAACUGGUUUGAGAGGAUGGUCGGUCACACUGGAACUGGGACACGGUCCAGACUCCUACGGGAGGCAGCAGUGGGGAAUAUUGCACAAUGGACGGAAGUCUGAUGCAGCAACGCCGCGUGGAGGAUGACACAUUUCGGUGCGUAAACUCCUUUUAUAUGAGAAGAUAAUGACGGUAUUAUAUGAAUAAGCACCGGCUAACUCCGUGCCAGCAGCCGCUGUAA